rnacentral:rRNA from 1 species
UGAGCAAUCUGCCCUUCUCAUCGGAAUAAGCGUUGGAAACGACGUCUAAUGCCGAAUACGACCUCCUUUCACAUGAUCGGAGGUGGAAAGCUCCGGCGGAGAAGGAUGAGCUCGCGGCCUAUCAGCUAGUUGGUGUGGGUAACGCCCACAAGGCGACGACGGGUAGCUGGUCUGAGAGGAUGGCCAGCCACAUUGGGACUGAGACACGGUCCAGACCUCGUACGGGGA